GACGAACGCUGGCGGCGGUGCCUAAUACAUGCAAGUCGAGCGAAGUUUUUCUGGUGCUUGCACUAGAAAAACUUAGCGGCGAACGGGUGAGUAACACGUAAAGAACCUGCCUCAUAGACUGGGACAACUAUUGGAAACGAUAGCUAAUACCGGAUAACAGUAUUUCUCGCAUGAGAGAUAUUUAAAAGUUGGUUAUGCUAACACUAUGAGAUGGCUUUGCGGUGCAUUAGCUAGUUGGUGGGGUAAAGGCCUACCAAGGCGACGAUGCAUAGCCGACCUGAGAGGGUGAUCGGCCACACUGGGACUGAGACACGGCCCAGACUCCUACGGGAGGCAGCAGUAGGGAAUCUUCCGCAAUGGGCGAAAGCCUGACGGAGCAACGCCGCGUGAGUGAAGAAGGAUUUCGGUUCGUAAAGCUCUGUUGUUAGGGAAGAAUGGAUAUGUAGUAACUAUACAUGUAAGAGACGGUACCUAACCAGAAAGCC
rnacentral:rRNA from 1 species